AGAAUCAACGCUGGCGGCGUGCCUAACACAUGCAAGUCGAACGAGAAAGUGGAGCAAUCCAUGAGUAAAGUGGCGACCGGGUGAGUAACACGUGACUAACCUACCUUCGAGUGGGGGAUAACCUCGGGAAACCGGGGCUAAUACCGCAUAAUGCCUUCGGGUUAAAGGAGCAAUUCGCUUGAAGAGGGGGUCGCGGCUGAUUAGCUAGUUGGCGGGGUAACGGCCCACCAAGGCGAUGAUCGGUAGCCGGCCUGAGAGGGCGCACGGCCACACUGGAACUGAAACACGGUCCAGACUCCUACGGGAGGCAGCAGUGGGGAAUUUGCGCAAUGGGGGAAACCCUGACGCAGCAACGCCGCGUGGAGGAUGAAGUCCCUUGGGACGUAAACUCCUUUCGACCGGGACGAUAAUGACGGUACCGGAAGAAGAAGCCCCGGCUAACUUCGCGCCAGCAGCCGC
rnacentral:rRNA from 1 species